rnacentral:other from 1 species
AUGAUUCUGCUUUGUUUGUAAAGACCUUCUUGGUUUUGAUCCUAUUUAUGAAACGGGAACCGAUCGUAACAAUUUGAGUACGUCAGGCUUUGAAGAAAGAAGGCGGAAACGAUUGACUAGGUGCCCACCUUGCUGGAGCAGGGUCAGAAAACCAGUUGUCGAACGGCAAAGCGGAUAAAGG